CUGUAGGCACCUAGACCACUUCAUCUCAUGUCCUUUAACCCUACAGUGGUAAUUAUUGCAGUUUCUGACACUGCAAUAAUUACAUAUGAGGGUUAACUCCACCUCUAGUGGCUGUCCACAGGAGCCUGACCCAGGGCCGAGGGACAUCAACGCUGGAUUCAAGUAAGUCACUGAAUGGGUUUUAACCCCUUCAGCAUCGAGG